CACCAAUCACGCCUGGCGUGGUAUUGGGCGACGGGAUUGCUUCAGUGUGUCCCGCGCCCCAAAGACCUUACCGGCGGGACGGACCGAAUCUCAGCGUUGUGAAUCUUUACGAGUCGCUGGCGAGACGGGACGGCCGUGCCGUGAAACCCCCCAAUCUAUCACA
rnacentral:misc_RNA from 1 species